UCCCGACUCACGAACGGAUCUACCGACAGCCGUCAUCCUCCUCCAGCAAUCCCCAUGUGCUCUCUGCCCCGCUCCGCCUGAUCCCACUCCCAGCACCUGGACCCCUCCCCCUGCUCGUCCGCGCCCCAUUCACCCACAUCCGCCACCGUCCUCCAUGCCCUGCCCCCCGGUGUGCCUGACGACCCGAUUCCUCGCCAACGAACUCCUCCUCCUCGGUUCCACACUUCUCGGAUCCUCGUCGCCCCGGCCGAGCAGAAACCGGAGCCCUGCCGCAGAUCCGCAGGGAGGAGGAGCCGAGGAGGGGGAAGAAUGGACGCCCCGUCGGUGGCGCUCUACAACCAGCUCAAGGCUGCCCAACCAUUCUUCUUGUUAGCUGGGCCCAAUGUGAUCGAAUCAGAGGAACAUGUCAUGAAGAUGGCCAAACACAUCAAAGCCAUCACAACCAAGCUUGGGGUGCCUCUUGUGUUCAAAUCAAGCUUUGAUAAAGCAAACCGUACAUCGUCGAAAUCCUUCCGCGGUCCUGGUCUGGAACAAGGCCUAAAGAUCCUUGAAAAGGUGAAGGCUGCAUAUGACCUUCCAGUGGUCACCGACGUGCAUGAAAGCUGCCAGUGCGAAGCUGUUGGAAGAGUUGCUGAUAUUAUACAGAUUCCAGCUUUCCUCUGUCGCCAGACUGACCUUCUAGUGGCUGCGGCUAAGACUGGGAAAAUUAUCAAUAUCAAGAAAGGACAAUUCUGUGCCCCGUCUGUUAUGGCCAACUCUGCGGAGAAAAUUAGACUUGCUGGAAAUCAUAAUGUGAUGGUCUGUGAGCGAGGCACCAUGUUUGGCUACAAUGAUCUAAUUGUUGAUCCAAGGAACUUUGAGUGGCUGAGGGAAACAAAUUGCCCAGUUGUAGCUGACGUAACACAUGCUCUACAACAACCAGCUGGGAAAAAGCUUGAUGGUGGUGGGGUCGCAAGUGGGGGCUUACGAGAACUCAUACCAUGCAUCGCAAGGACUGCUGUUGCAGUUGGUGUUGAUGGUAUUUUCAUGGAGGUACAUGAUGAUCCCCUGAAUUCACCAUGUGACGGGCCAACUCAAUGGCCAUUGCGCAAUUUGGAGGAGCUGUUAGAAGAAUUGAUUGCGAUCGCUCGAGUCACCAAAGGAAAGAAGCCACUCAAGAUCGACCUAACUCCAUUCAAGGAAUGAUUUGGCAGUGGGUAGCAAUAGGAAUAACUUUGUCGUUACCAAUUGGUUUCACCAAUAUGGUCGUGUCCAGUUGGAGCACAUUUUUCGAAAUCGGACAGCUUGGUAAAGAAACACUCGCGGUUGCAUGAGCAUGAUGAUAGCAGCUUCCUCUAUUUAUCGCUGGUGAUAAAACUGGUGGCCCCCCAUCCAUGUCUAUGAAAUGGUGUUUUAUAUCACAUCCCUUGAACAGUUUGAACAGAGCCCCAGAGGGGAGGGAAGCACCUUGAACCGAAUGAGGAGAGAUUUGCAGGGGACAUUAAGCGUGAGAUUAAGGGACAAUUAGCAUUAGUCCAACGUUAAUUGUUACAAACAUGAAGCGUAUGGCUGAGAUUGUUUAGAUUCCAGAGACAAUGGUGCUUUCUAUAGGGGUAGUGAUAUUUGUUGUACUAAGAUUUCCUCUUUCUAAUAUCCAAGAUCAGAAACAUUCAAUUCAAUACUCAUGUGCAUCUCCAGCGACAAUGAUGCAACGUUACACUAGACAGACUCCAG